rnacentral:lncRNA from 1 species
CCCAGAGCUGGGCGGGUUAAGGAGGAGGAUGGCGCCGUCCUGCAGAUGUGCGGGGACGCGCGCCCGCCGCAACGUGAGGCUCAUAGGCCACACGCAACUCUGAGCAUUGGCCAGGACCUGUAGUAGCCAACAGGACACUUAAUAACUGAUGUAUAGGUGCGCACUGUGUGUCCAGAGCUUUACGUUAACCACCUCACUGUGUCAUCUCGCUGAGGUUGUGUGGUUUACUAUUACUGCUAUUAGCGCAUUUUUAAGCGGGAAACCUGAGGCAUGAGGAGGGUCAGUCCUCGACCUUGUCCCCCCAAAUUGCUUCGUCUCUGAAUCCAGACUCUGAAGUUCGGCUCUGCCUACCACCUUAAGUUAUCCGAUGUGGCCUUACCGUCAGCCUAGUCUUUGACUACAGGAAGACCUCUCUUCCUGAAGAAGACGCCUCUUUUCAUCCAUUCACUCUGGAAAUGAUUCAACGUCUGCCUGCUGCUGAUGCUUUACUCUCCACCAGGGGUUUUCGAAGUGUGCUUCCCCAUUCCCCCUGGGCCUAUAGCAUCAGCAUCAGGGAACUUGUCAGUAACGCACAUUCUUGGGCCCCAACCCAGAACUACUGAAUCAGAAACUUGGGGUGAGGGCCUGUCGUGGUGGCUCAUGCCUGUAAUCCCAACACUUUGGGAAGCAGAGGAGGGUGGAUCACCUGAGGUCAGGAGUUGAGGACCAGCCUGGCUAACAUGGUGAAACCCCGUCUCUACUAAAAAUAGAAAAAUUAGCCAGAUGUGGUGGCGUGUGCCCAUAAUCCUAGCUACUCGGGAGACUGAGGCAGGAGACUCGCUUGAACCCAAGAGGCGGAGGUUGCAGUGAGCCAAGAUUGCACCACUGCACUCUAGCCUGGGCGACAGAGUGAGACUCCGUCUCAAAAAAAAAAAAAGAACUCAGGGUGAGGCCCAGCCGGCUGUGGUUUUAUGAGCUUUUCAGGGGAUACUGAUGCGGGAUCAAAUUUGAGAAGCACUGGUCUAGGUCUUAGAUCCUCUUGCUUCAGUUUCGUCAUUGGAUCUCAGGAAUGUUCAGCUGCCCUCUCAAGGCAACUUCUUACUUCACUUGACCUUCCAAGACCUCUCGUUCUGUCAAACCCCAAUUUUGGAUCAACCCAGGCAUGCUUCCCUCAUGUGUUCCAAAGCUGGUCAGAGUAGUCUACACCACUAUCUGCUUCAACUUCUAGUAACGUCUAAGCCUUCAGCAGUUUUGCUUAUGAAACUGCUUCACUGAAGUUCUCCACCACCAAGUAGUCAGCUGGCAUCGGAAUUCGGCUUGUGUCAAAUGGAACUCAACAUCUUCCUCUUCAGGACAUCCCCUAUUUUCAUCCUCCCAUGCCAGGAUUACAGGCGUAAAACUCCCAUGCUGGGCUGGUCAAAGUGCUGGGAUUACAGGCAUAAGACAACGCACCUGGAACUUGGCUUGUGUCAAAUGGAACUCAACAUCUUCCCUUUUACUAAACCCCACCCAACAUUCACUGCGCACAAGUUGUCUUAUUCACUGGACUUCUAAUAUGUUUAAGGGGUCUGUCCCCAUUUAUUUUUUGAAACGGGGUCUUUCUGUGUUGCCCAGGCUGGAGUGCAGUGGUUGUUCACAGGUGCCAACCUACUAUUGAUCAGCAUGGGAGCUUUGGGGUUUUAAAACAAAUUUUUUAAGCCAGUCAUAUUUAGCAGUGGGGGGUUGUAUACCAACUUUAGUGACACUAAUGUUAUUAAAUUCUAAUAACCCACUACCAUCAGACCAGCCCAGCUUGGGAGUUUUGACCUGCUCCAUUUCCGACCUGGGCUGUUUCACCCCUCCAUAGACAACCUGGAUAGUCCCCUGUCCUGGGAGGUCACCAUGUUGAAGCUGAACUUAGUGUGGACACCCAAACUGCAUAAUGCAUUACAGUCUAGAACUCCUGGGCUCAAGGGAUCCUCCCACCUCAGCCUCCUGAGUAGCUAGGACCACAGGGUGCACCACCGCGCCCAGCUGUCUUCCUUUUUUUUUCUGAGACCGAGCCUCACUCAGCUGUCCAAGCUAGAGUGCAGUGGUGUGAUCUCCAUUCACUGCAACCACUGUCUCCCUGGUUCAAGCGAUUCUCCUGUCUCAGCCUCCUGAGUAGCUGGGAUUACAGGAACCUACCAUCAUGCCCGGCUAAUUUUUGUAUUUUAGUAGAGAUGGGGUUUUACUAUGUUGGCCAAGCUAGUCUUGAACUCCCG